UGAAUCAAACAAAUAUAUGUUCAUGAGAUCGAGUUGAUAAAUUUUCAUUAUUUAUUUGUUUAAUUCUAUGAAAAAUUAAAAAAAUUAUGGUGUUUUUACGUUUUCGUUAGAAGUUUUUUCUUCAUUUUUGUUAUUACAGGAAUAGUAACCAAAUGUGGGGUUGAGGAAAACGAAGUUUCCCUCAUACCAACUAAUUGUCAGUGCAUCCCUGCGAGGCUCCCUUAUUUGGUCCUAG
rnacentral:lncRNA from 1 species